GAUGAACGCUAGCGGCAGGCCUAAUACAUGCAAGUCGAGCGGCAAGUCGAGGAGUAAUCUGAGACCUAGAGCGGCGUACGGGUGCGUAACGCGUAUGCAACCUACCUCAUACAGGGGGAUAGCCCGGAGAAAUCUGGAUUAAUACCCCAUGGCACAGCACAAGGGCAUCUGCGAGCUGUUAAAGAUUCAUCGGUAUGAGAUGGGCAUGCGUCUGAUUAGCUAGUUGGCGGUGUAACGGACCACCAAGGCGACGAUCAGUAGGGGUUCUGAGAGGAAGGUCCCCCACACUGGAACUGAGAUACGGGCCAGACUCCGACGGGAGGCAGCAGGAGGGAAUAUUGGGCAAUGGUCGGACGACUGACCCAGCCAUGCCGCGUGCAGGAAGAAGGCCUAUUGGGUUGUAAACUGCUUUUAUCUGGGAAGAAAAGGCCCGUGCGCGGGACAUUGCCGGUACCAGAUGAAUAAGCACCGGCUAACUCCGUGCCAGCAGCCGCAGUAAAAC
rnacentral:rRNA from 1 species